UGGAUGUAAAAGUCGUAACAAGGUCUCCGUUGGUGAACCAGCGGAGGGAUCAUUACCGAGUUUACAACUCCCAAACCCAAUGUGAACCAUACCAAACUGUUGCCUCGGCGGGGUCACGCCCCGGGUGCGUCGCAGCCCCGGAACCAGGCGCCCGCCGGAGGGACCAACCAAACUCUUUCUGUAGUCCCCUCGCGGACGUUAUUUCUUACAGCUCUGAGCAAAAAUUCAAAAUGAAUCAAAACUUUCAACAACGGAUCUCUUGGUUCUGGCAUCGAUGAAGAACGCAGCGAAAUGCGAUAAGUAAUGUGAAUUGCAGAAUUCAGUGAAUCAUCGAAUCUUUGAACGCACAUUGCGCCCGCCAGUAUUCUGGCGGGCAUGCCUGUCCGAGCGUCAUUUCAACCCUCGAACCCCUCCGGGGGGUCGGCGUUGGGGAUCGGGAACCCCUAAGACGGGAUCCCGGCCCCGAAAUACAGUGGCGGUCUCGCCGCAGCCUCUCCUGCGCAGUAGUUUGCACAACUCGCACCGGGAGCGCGGCGCGUCCACGUCCGUAAAACACCCAACUUCUGAAAUGUUGACCUCGGAUCAGGUAGGAAUACCCGCUGGACUUAAGCAUAUCAAUAAGCGGAGGA
rnacentral:rRNA from 1 species